rnacentral:lncRNA from 1 species
ACAGCUGCGCCCCGCCGCGCCCGGGUGCCGCUUGCCGCACCCCCGAGCCUGAGCCCGUCUACCUCGUGGCUGCCUGAGGCCCGGGUAUGGGGGCGCGCGUCUGCGAGGAGGUCGCGGGUGCCCUGGUUUUUUUGAAGCCGGCCUUGUAUUCCCAGGGCCUGGCGGGUGAAUAACCGGCCGGGUCGUGGCUGCGUGGUCGUGCUCCGCCCGCGCCGAGGGGCCUCACGCCCGGGCAGCCUGCGUCACCCGCAGGGUUCGGUCACAGGCGAGGGCGGAUGGUGCGGGCCGGAAUCCCGCCUGCGAGUAGAGGCCCGCGCUCAGGAGGGCGGCGCCGGAGGCCUCGGGUCGGGAGGGCCCCUUCGGGUGUGAGGAGCGCAGGAAGGGGGCGGUUUUCCUGCGUCUUGAGCCGCCCGAGGACGAGGACUGAAGUUGCAGCCGCCGCAGGGAGGGCAGCCCCGGAGGAGGAGGGUCGUGAGGGAGGGAGCGCGCAGUGCGGCGCGGCCUGGCAGGCGUCUGCAGAGCUCGUCCCGCACACCUCUGACUUCGGAGCGCUCCGUCCUGUGCCUUCGGACUGGCUCACCUCGGAGGCGCUUCGAGCCUCGGUCCUGCCCCGGCCGCUGCGCGAGCCCAUCGUAGGAAGCGGGGAGGCGCCGUCUGGAAGCUUAGGAAGAGGCUCUGUUCUCUUCAGGGUCCGCCCUCCGGGCCCGGGCAGGGUCCCUCGUGGGCUCCCAGGCGCGCGGGGUCCUCCGCCACCCCGACCCCUUCCUCCGUCCGCCUUAGGUCUAGAGCUGACGCCAAGAGCUGGAAAGCUUGUUGAGUAGGAAAAGCAAAGACUAGAUGGUCUGUCACAGAGGUAGGAUGAGGGUGACCUAUUUAUUUUUAUGCUUUUCUGUACUCCGCAAAUUCGUAACAGUGAAUGCCAGUGACGACAGCCAACAUCACCGAGUGCCUAGCUCCGUGUCGAACACCCAUGUAAUAUUCACAACCCUGUGCAGCGAAUACAAUACCUCUAUUUUACAUGUAAAGAAAGAUUCAGAAGUAUUAAAAGUAACCUGCCUAGGAUUACAGCUCUGAAGUUAGGGCAGAAUUUCAAGGCCGGUCUGGUUUGUUUCUGGACCUGCACUCACUCCACCACUACAGACGAGGUUGCAAAGCCAGUGGGCUGCGUGUAAUCCUCCCUCUUCCUCAGCCCCGAGACGCUCAGGAAAGUGUUUUCAGUUAUCGUGGUUAUCCGCCCUCAGCCCUCCAGUGGGCCGGGUGCCUCGGCAGAGGUGCUCGGGGCUGGGGAGGUGUUCUGUUGGUUUGUGGAGAGGACCUUCCCCUACACCCAGGGCUGACACUGAUUUUCACAACUGAACCGCUUUUCCUUUUGCUUCUUAUUGUACAGUCAGCCUUCGCAGUGAAUCCAACCUUGCCGUUUCCUCCUCCACUAUUUUUUCUUUCCCUGAUUGAAAGACACCAGGUGGGCCGGGCGCGGUGCCCUCCCCCUCCCUCUCCCUGCCCUUCAUCCCAGCACUUUGGGAGGCCAAGGCGGGCGGACCACGAGGUCAGGAGAUCGAGACCAUCCUGGCUAACACGGCGAAACCCCGUCUCUACUAAAAAUACGAAAAAUUAGCCGGGCGCUGUGGCGGGCGCCUGUAGUCCCAGCUACUCGGGAGGCUGAGGCAGGAGAAUGGCGUGAACCCGGGAGGCGGAGCUUGCAGUGAGCCGAGAUCCCGCCACUGCACUCCAGCCUGGGCGACAGAGCGAGACUCCAUCUCAAAAAAAAAAAAAAAGGUCACAAAUCCUCUGAACGCACAGGCAUAAAGGGUUGUGGGGCUCGGUCACUUCCUAGAACACAAAAAACCCUUUCGGAAGUUUGGUUGGGUUGGUCACGGGACAAGGCUGGAGAGAGGGUGAGGGCACACAUUUGGAUGUGUUUGGGAGGAGUUUAAGUGUAGUCCUAUUAAUAUUGUUUGAGAUAAGUUAAAAUUGUUUCCUGGCAAUUCAUCAGAAGCAGUGUGGGGUGUUGGCAAGAGGCCUCCUCUGGGGAAAGAACACUGGGUUCUGUCUCCUCUGGCCUAUGACCUUAAGCAAGUUAUUAGCUUCCUCAAGCCUCAAUCUUCUCAGCGGUAAAAUGGGGAUGAUAAUUAUCUGCAAAGCAAGGCUAAUAUCAGCCUUGGGUUUCCCACAGGGUGGUUAUGAAGAUAAAAUGCAAUAAAUGUGUGUGAGGGCAACUGACGAGCCAGGAAGCCUUGGCAUCCAGAGUUAUUACUGGGACGUCAUGGGAAAUGAGGAUAUGGGAACAGAGUAUUUAUGCAUUUAUUCAAACUCAUCUCUAACAACCGUGCUUUGAAGGCUGGCUGCAUCCCAGGCCCUACAGGUGAACCGUGACUCUCAGCUCUCAGCUUCAGCCCCUGCUGUAGUGGCGGCAGCAGCAGAGGCUCACGUAGCCUCAAGCAGUAGGGGUUUUGUUUAAGGAUUCGGGUGCCCCAUGGUUUGGGGGUUUUGUUUUUAUUUUGCUGCAUGAUUUGGAUUCAAGAAGAAGGAUCUGUAGGACAGUGGGCUCCCGGGUCUGCCUUUGCCCUCAUAGCCUGCAGCAGAGCAGGACGUUCGCUUUCCCUUCUCCGCCUGUGUGUUCUUCCUGCACUGCCUAACUGCUGCUUGCUCAUUUGUGCUUCCGUGUCACCCCUCCUCAGCCCUCUGAACUCUGCACGUCAGGACUUGGCACACUUCCUAACUGCUGCUUACUCAUUUGUACUUCCGCGUCACCCCUCCUCAGCCCUCUGAACUCUGCGCUUGGACUUGGUGUGACUUCCCUUCCCCGCCUAUUCUCUAGAGGCAGUCUCUUGGUGACUCCUGGUUUGGGUCAGGGCACGCCUUAGGUCUCUGGAUGGCUACCAACCCCAGGUUCCCUCAGCUCUAGCCCCAUAAGAGAGGAGGCCUCAGGAGCGCCUAGGGCAGCCCUUUCAGCCUGGGCUGUGGGAAGGGAAGGUGGACAGAGAGGAGACCCCAUGCCUUUGUUCCCUGUUGAUGCAGAAGCAUUCUAGGCUCUGUCCCUUAUUCCUGCUGUGGGCUGAAGCUUCAGGCAAGGUGCUCUACAAACUUCAGUUGCCUCAUCUAUCAAACAGUAACGUUUAACAUUCCAGAGACAGAAGUUGAUCUUUGGGACUUUUUUUGAUUUUAAGAUCUAGGCUGGCUGGGGCGGUGGCUCAUGCCUGUAAUCCCAGCACUUUGAGAGGCCGAGACCGGUGGAUCACGAGAUCAUCAGGAGAUGAGACCAUCCUGGCUAACAUGGUAAAACCCAGUCUCUACUAAAAAUAGAAAAAAUUAGCCGGGCACGGUGGCAGGUGCCUGUAAUCCCAGCUACUUGGGAGGCUGAGGCAGGAGAAUCGAUUGAAUCUGGGAGGCAGAGACUCCAUCUGAAAAAAAAAAAAAAAGAUCUAGGCUUCUGGCUGGGUGCUAUGUCCCACGCCUGUAAUCCCAGCACUUUGGGAGGGCAAGGCAGGUGGAUCACUUGAGGUCAGGAGUUCAAGACCAGCCUAGCCAACACGGCGAAACUCUCUUUCUACUAAAAAUACAAAAAAAUUAGCCAGGCACGGUGGCAACAUGCCUGUAGUUCCAGCUACUCGAGAGGCUGAGGCAUGAGAAUCGCUUGAACCUGGGAGGUGGAG